UUUCCGUAGGUGAACCUGCGGAAGGAUCAUUAUCGGAAAACCGAGGUGCGAGGGCUGUCGCUGACCUUUUCGGUCGUGCACGCCCGAGCGCUCUCACACAAUCCAUCUCACCCCUUGUGCACCACCGCGUGGGUCCCUUUCUGGCUCGUCCGAAGGGGGGCUCGCGUUUUCACACAAACUUGAAGUAGUGUAGAAUGUCCUUUUUUUGCGAUAACACGAAAUCAAUACAACUUUCAACAACGGAUCUCUUGGCUCUC
rnacentral:misc_RNA from 1 species